CUUUUGAUCACCGUUACAAAAUAUAUGUGUCGAAUUAUCCCCUAUUUGAAUCAAAGUAUCUUCAUCUUGCUGUAAAUAUGAACAGUAAAAUAAGAAUAAAUAAAAGAAAAUUUUAUAUUUUAAGAAGAAAGUAUUUAAUAAAUUCUUACUAAAUGAAUACUGGUCGCAGUUGGACUAUGUUGUAACUUGGCUCCUUGAAUACCUUCUUGAUUAAGCUUUUGUAGGAGUUCUUGUGGAUCCAAAUUGCCAUACUCAUGUCUUCUUUCUUUAAGAACUUCUUCCUUAAUUGGUGCAGGUGAACUGGAAGACGCUUUACGUUUUCCACUAGGUCUAUCUUCAAUGCUCUAAUAACAAAGUUCGUGGUUAAUGAAACAUGUUUUUCAAUUAUAUACUUAUUAAAUUUCAUUUUAAUAAUACAUACUUUUAUUGUAUAUACGUUAUCCUUAACUUCCAAUUCACCAGUAACAGAAGCAAGACUUAAACCAGGACGAAUUUCAUUAGGAAUUAUAUUUCCAGCUAAUUCUGGCUCAAUAAACACCCGUCCUUUCUUUCUUUUUAAAGGCAAUUUUAUAACUUCACCUCUUUUGAAAGUGAUUAAAGGUUUUUCCUUAAAUGUUCUAUAACAAGAUCUGUUCUAUGUGGAGCAGUUAUUGGUGGUUGUGUAUAACACUCAGGUAUAACUAAAUGUUCUGGUUUCAAGUCCCUAAUUAAUUUAUUAGCUUGAGUAAAAUUAAGAGAUGUGUCAAUUGGACAAUGCACUGCUUUCAUAGCUAAUGGUUGAAAUGGUGCCAAAGCAUCUAAAUAUGGAAAAUCUGGUUCUGAAACGAUAAUUAUUAUCUACAGAACUUUUUACAAAUCACGUCAUAAUAAUAAUCAUAUAUAUAUGAUGAAUAAUAUAUUGUAAUAUACUAUAAAUUAUAUUUAAUAUAAUAUAUAAAUAUAC
rnacentral:misc_RNA from 1 species